rnacentral:rRNA from 1 species
ACAGGGAUUGCCCUAGUAACGGCGAGUGAAGCGGCAACAGCUCAAAUUUGAAAUCUGGCGUCUUUGGCGUCCGAGUUGUAAUUUGCAGAGGGCGCUUUGGCAUUGGCAGCGGUCCAAGUUCCUUGGAACAGGACGUCACAGAGGGUGAGAAUCCCGUACGUGGUCGCUAGCCUUUACCGUGUAAAGCCCCUUCGACGAGUCGAGUUGUUUGGGAAUGCAGCUCUAAAUGGGAGGUAAAUUUCUUCUAAAGCUAAAUACUGGCCAGAGACCGAUAGCGCACAAGUAGAGUGAUCGAAAGAUGAAAAGCACUUUGGAAAGAGAGUUAAAAAGCACGUGAAAUUGUUGAAAGGGAAGCGCUUGCAGCCAGACUUGCCUGUAGUUGCUCAUCCGGGUUUUUACCCGGUGCACUCUUCUAUGGGCAGGCCAGCAUCAGUUUGGGCGGUUGGAUAAAGGUCUCUGUCAUGUACCUCCUCUCGGGGAGAACUUAUAGGGGAGACGACAUGCAACCAGCCUGGACUGAGGUCCGCGCAUCUGCUAGGAUGCUGGCGUAAUGGCUGUAAGCGGCCCGUCUUGAAACACGGACCAAGGAGUCUAACAUCUAUGCGAGUGUUUGGGUGUCAAGCCCGAACGCGUAAUGAAAGUGAACGGAGGUGGGAACCUUUCGGGGUGCACCAUCGACCGAUCCUGAUGUCUUCGGAUGGAUUUGAGUAAGAGCAUAGCUGUUGGGACCCGAAAGAUGGUGAACUAUGCUUGAAUAGGGUGAAGCCAGAGGAAACUCUGGUGGAGGCUCGCAGCGGUUCUGACGUGCAAAUCGAUCGUCAAAUUUGGGCAUAGGGGCGAAAGACUAAUCGAACUAUCUAGUAGUGGUC